UGUAACGAUAUAUUUCUAGCUAUCGAGAUAAAUCGAUCAUUCAGUCGACAUGAUAGAAAGAUGGCGAAAAGGUUAUGUAGUUUCAUCUACGAUCCUAUUGAAACAUUUGCCUGUUAUGUUUCAUGAUUUUUUUUACCCAUGGAAUUGUUUUAACGAAAAAUUACUCUAUUCACUGUAAUUAGUGGUGUUAUUAUACAAUUAAAAUUUAUAGAUAAUGUAGCCAUAUUAAUUUGCAAAAAAAAAAGAAUAUUAAAAGAAAAUAUUAAAUAUCAGUUAAGAAGCAUAUAUUCAAAAAAUAAUUAUUAGACUACGUUAUUAUUAAAGCUGUCAUAAGGAUAAUUUAGUUUUGCAUUGAAUUGCUUGACUGCACUCAAAGAAUGAAUACGAAAAUUCUCCCUUUUCAGUAUUCAAACUUAUACAAUGUUUUGUUUCUGACAAAAGUGUUCACAAAUCGAUAUCAAAUGGUUACAAAGUUCGAGAGAUCGGCUGGCGUGUAUCCGUGUCGUGACACGCAUGGAAACGGUCUGCUAGCACGCGCGCUAGCAACGCACGCUACGAAGUUUACUGACAGACUGUUCGCAGUCCGGUCGGUCGGUCCUCUCUGUGGAACGGUCGCGUCAUGCCCGCUGGACCAAGCGCGCUGAUUGGUAGAUACGAUAGAAAGCGAGAAGCAACACGUGCGAAACAAAGACGAGCAUAGUGGAAAAUGGCUAAUGGGGUGAUGAACGAAGAAAAAGGGAAGAACGAGAGAAGUUUAAUGGUGUUGAUGAGACAAGGACAGUGACCAGGGAAAGACGGUGAAUGAAGGAACGUGUGAAAGAGAUUAUCGGAUAUGUGGCACAAGUACAAUCGCCGCUGACUUCAUGGAUCGCGGUUUAGAAAUCGUUUAAGGUUACCUAGGAUUCGCGUUUAAUAUAUAUAAUAAAUGAUAUGAAACGAUUUUACAUUAAGGUCCGUCACAGUGGAGGGGAGGAAAACGACAUUGUAAGGCCCAACUGGCAAGGCAUGUUCCUUACAUUCAACCGCGUUCAGCUGUAUGUACGCGGACAGGAUCUAGCCAGCUGCGGCCUUCUUCGACCUUCCCCCCACCAGACCGGAAUCGAGCCUUCUGGCCAACUAUACAAACCGGUACCCCAGCGUUCUAACAAGGAACAUCCGCGAAGCUCCGCCUUCGAUCUUGAUGGUGAUAGUUAAAUGAAAGACAAUUAUGCCAUAUGGAAUGCAGUGGAGAAUUAGCAGAAUAAGUGGAACAUAAAAAUAAACGAUUUAAAAAAAAGAAAGAGAAACAGUUAGUUGAUUUAUUCUGAAUUCAUCACAGACAAAAAAUCUUUGGCAAUUGAAAUAUAUCGUUCUCGAAUUUUUCUGAAUUUUUUCUUUUUUCGAAUUUUUAUAAUGAUUGUUCAAAAGUAAAGAUAAAAAAUUCAUAUAUCUAUAAAUAUCAUUUUGUUCUGAUUAAUAUUAUCAGAUUUGAGAAAUAUUAUCAGAUCUAAAAGUAUUUGAUAUAGAUUCUCUUCCGAAUUUUUAAUCAGUUUCUUCAUCAUCAUAUCUUGUCUAAGCGACACAAUUUCGACCAAUGGCUUUACCCUUUGAGUUCAUAUCCAUUAUGGGCAUUCAAAAGAUUCGUAGAACGUAGAAUUUUUAAUUCAACCCGCAUAGUUCAAGAGUUCACAUCUGUUCCCUAUUUUCCUUGACCAGAAAUUCCAACUGACCAUCAGAUAAAUGG